rnacentral:rRNA from 1 species
GUACUUGUACCUGGUGGCGAGCGGCGGACGGGUGAGUAAUGCCUAGGAAUCUGCCUGGUGGUGGGGGAUAACGCUCGGAAACGGACGCUAAUACCGCAUACGUCCUACGGGAGAAAGCAGGGGACCUUCGGGCCUUGCGCUAUCAGAUGAGCCUAGGUCGGAUUAGCUAGUUGGUGAGGUAAUGGCUCACCAGGGCGACGAUCCGUAACUGGUCUGAGAGGAUGAUCACUCACACUGGAACUGAGACACGGUCCAGACUCCUACGGGAGGCAGCAGUGGGGAAUAUUGGACAAUGGGCGAAAGCCUGAUCCAGCCGUGCCGCGUGUGUGAAGAAGGUCUUCGGAUUGUAAAGCACUUUAUGUUGGGAGGAAGGGCAGUUACCUAAUACGUGAUUGUUUUGACGUUACCGACAGAAUAAGCACCGGCUAACUCUGUGCCAGCAGCCGCGGUAAUACAGAGGGUGCAAGCGUUAAUCGGAAUUACUGGGCGUAAAGCGCGCGUAGGUGGUUUGUUAAGUUGAAUGUGAAAUCCCCGGGCUCAACCUGGGAACUGCAUCCAAAACUGGCAAGCUAGAGUAUGGUAGA